AGUAAAGUACAUGUACCAAUUCAUAUUCUAGCAGCAUCAUUAAUGUAGAUUAAGCACAGUUUUGUGGAACCAGGACUAAAAAAUACACAAAACUCAAGUUGGCUGCACAACCAGUAAUAAUUAAAUUAGUCCAUCAGAAGAUUCAGAACUGCAUUUUUCAAAAUCUUCAGGAAAGCAAAGAUGAAUCUGUAUAAUUUUUAUGGACGUGUUAUCGAAUUGUGGAACGGAUGGGAGCUUCGAGCAAUGAUCUUGCUGAGUCUCUCGCUGCAAAUUUUCCUCACCGUCACUGGCAGUCGACGAAAGUAUACAGCCGGAAUCUGGUUCGGGAUGUUUGUUUGGCUAGCAUAUUUGUCAGCAGAUUGGUUUGCGACUAUUACAUUGGGUAUUCUUGCUCGUAGCCAAGGGGGUUCAGAAUCCAAAGGUACCACUUCAAAUGCAAGUUUCAUCCCGGCAUUUUGGGCCCCGAUGCUCCUUGUGCACCUUGGUGGUCCUGACACUAUUACUGCCUAUUCAGUAGAGGACAACGAAUUGUGGUCGAGGCACUUGCUUCAGCUAUUAACCCAACUAGCGGUGGCUUUUUAUGUUUCGUUGAGGUCAUGGUGGAGCAAGGAUCCGCUAAUAUAUGUAGUGAU